GCUUGAGUGAGUGAAAGUGUUGUGUCUGUGUGUUUGAGUGUGUGAGUGAGUGAGAUACUCUUUAAAAACCUACACACUGAUCUUAUUUGAUCUGGUCUGAGUUCGGCUCUGCUCUCACCGGAGAUGAUAGGAAAACCGCUCGCGAGCCUCCAUGGCGAUGUGCGGAUGAUUUCAACCUUCAGGGCCUCCACGCUUUAAGUUGUGGUCAGAGGUGAUGAAUUGAUCAGAUAUACUAGUUCUUGGUGGGUUUGGGUUCGUCUCAAGCCUCACAAUGGACAAUGAGUAUAGAGGCGAUUCUGAUCUAA
ensembl:scaRNA